rnacentral:rRNA from 1 species
AUUGAACGCUGGCGGCAUGCCUAAUACAUGCAAGUCGAGCGAACAGAUGAAGUGCUUGCACUUCUGACGUUAGCGGCGAGCGGGUGAGUAACACGUAAGGAAUCUACCUAUAAGCGGGGGAUAACAUUCGGAAACGGGUGCUAAUACCGCAUAAUAUCUUCUUCCGCAUGGAAGAAGAUUGAAAGACGGCUCUGCUGUCACUUAUAGAUGACCUUGCGGUGCAUUAGUUAGUUGGUGGGGUAACGGCCUACCAAGACGAUGAUGCAUAGCCGACCUGAGAGGGUGAUCGGCCACAUUGGGACUGAGACACGGACCAAACGCCUACGGGAGGCAGCAGUAGGGAAUCUUCCGCAAUGGGCGAAAGCCUGACGGAGCAAUGCCGCGUGAGUGAAGAAGGCCUUCGGGUCGUAAAACUCUGUUAUAAGAGAAGAACAAAUUGUAGAGUAACUGCUACAGUCUUGACGGUAUCUUAUCAGAAAGCCACGGCUAACUACGUGCCAGCCGCCGCGGUAA